UACGUAGGUGGCAAGCGUUGUCCGGAUUUACUGGGCGUAAAGGAUGCGUAGGCGGACAUUUAAGUCAGAUGUGAAAUACCCGAGCUUAACUUGGGUGCUGCAUUUGAAACUGGGUGUCUAGAGUGCAGGAGAGGUAAGUGGAAUUCCUAGUGUAGCGGUGAAAUGCGUAGAGAUUAGGAAGAACACCCAGUGGCGAAGGCGACUUACUGGACUGUAACUGACGCUGAGGCAUGAAGGCCAGGGGAGCAAACGGGG
rnacentral:rRNA from 1 species